GUAGAAGCAACAGCAUUUCUCAGAGGCAACUGGAUUCUCCUCUCCCUCUCCCAAGAAUAGAUGGGAUGAUCAUGGCAAAGCAGUUGUGCAAAUGAGUAUAGUUUGUAUCAUUCCUAGUUUACAAGGAACUGCAUUCUACCUGUUCUCGCAAGACAAAAAGAGAUACUUCUCCAAGGAAGAGGGAAAAUGCCAUGGUUCCAUUUUGCCUUCCUUCCUCUGCAGUCUGCCCAUGAGGAGGGUCUGAGUAGAUUGCUGUGCUACCUCGGAGAACUGACCACCUGAAGUAGCCUGCUUCACCCUGCUUCAUGGUAGGGCUGGCUCUGGACAAUAUAUGAAAGCUGAUUUCUGAAGGCAUCAACACAGACAACUGGGUCAUGUUUUCUGACCAAAUGGGACCAGGACCUCCCAAGAAAAAAAGAAAGAGAGAGAAAAAAGAGAAAGAGAGGAAAGAGAGGGAAAAAAGAAAGAGAG